rnacentral:snRNA from 1 species
GUAUGUGAGGGCAAUCUGGCUGUGACUUCUUUCACCUCAUUUAUUUCCAAGGUUCAUUUUGCUGAUCUGGCUGGCUUAGGUGGGGGUCCUCUUCCUCCAUCACCACUCCAUGUGUGUCCAUCCCGAAGCUGCAUGCUUGGUCGAAGAGGA